rnacentral:lncRNA from 1 species
GUUAUUGAAUUCCUCCUCGUUUCAUUCAUAUACACGUGUGUCUUCUCCCAACUGUUCUGUGAAGUAGUUAUCGAAUUUCCUGCUAUUGCAUUCUUACACAUUUUGUCACAGGACUUAAUCUAGUCUAAUCCACCAACAGUAGCGACAUCGUCGUAAUGAUUAUUGCCUUCAUAGUUCAUUGUUCCUUCAGCACCGCAACUAUUAACUUUACCAAGCUUUUUCUUCAGAUGUACAUGCAAGUAGUUUUAAAGUCAUCAUGAGUUUUACCAUGCAGGUGUGCAGCAAUGGCAGCUCAUCUAAACAUACACGAAAUCUAUUUAAAUUUAAAACCGUUAAAUCUAUUAUUACAGUAUCACACAUUAAAAUGAAGAACAACGCAUUUGAACCGAAAUCCUUUAGUAAUAUUGUUUAUAGUAAUAGUUUUAGGAUAGUUAAUACUUCUAAUUAAGUAUUAAAGUCUUAUUUGACAUUUUAAUUAGCGGUUUUGAAAUUGUGUCAUUAAACAAGUAAGCCAAUAAAUUCUUCUUUAAAUUGUUCUAAUUAAAAGGCCAAGAUAAAUGAAUAAAUAAGUGCUGGUACCGGUUGCCAGUGUGAGUCUGAUGGCAGAUAAUUAUCAUAUCUUCCUCAGGAGUAAAAUUUCCGUGUUUAAUACUAGGGCUACGAUGAUUCACCCACCUCAGUCUACAACUCUAACCAUUAAUCUUUAGUCUUAGUAAUUACAGAACAAGUAUUAUUUCUAUUUUUAUAGGUAAAUGCUCGUUCAGUUAUUGCCUGAUGUAGUUCCCUAAUGUGGUGGAUAACAGUGGUUAUGCAAUUUAGUUUUCACGAGGAUUGAUUCCCUAUUACAAGUCAGUAAGUAUAUUUGCUUUGUUACACCUCGGACUCUGACUUCGGGUUAGCCUUUUUGUAAAGUUUUGCUGAAUGUAUUUACCUUUUGGAUGUAGGUCAGGGAAAGGCACUCCAAAAUUUCCGUACAUGCUUGACCUUGGAAUUCAGGUACUUCAAUAUUCUUGUUAUGUAUUACUAGGCAGUGUCUGUAUUGAUGCAGUAAUGCUAAGUUUUUAAUCUUUUACAGAGUUUUGAUACAAAGUUCCUCAAAAUAUAAUCAGAGCUCCCGCCCACCCCGCUGCAACUAGAAGAAAAUUUGAAACAAUUAAAAGUCCUGGAGAAUGGAUACAAGAUGAAGGUGGGUUUCUAAUUAGGAUACAUCCAUUUUCCAAAUAUCUUCAUAUUAUAUCCCUACUCUUUUGUGUUUCACCAAUAAUCUGAUGGCGGUUGCCGCCGGUGAUAAUCUCCGACGAGGUAAUAGAUUGAGGAGCCGUGUGGUCGGGAUUAUACCCGCCAGGUAAACUUACUCGCGCUUCGAGAGCAAGUCUCUCAUUGAUAUCCCCAACAAGCCCAUGAUCCAGGUACGGCCCACUUGCUAUUUCUACACCUCAAUUAUUACUAUAUUUGUUGUUUAGUUUGACCCUUUGACUUUCUUGUGAUCGUGUAAAUAUAAUGAAUAAUGAUCAUAGUAAUGUCUAAUUUGGAGACUAGAGGUCGAGAGUUUAAGUCUUGUCAUAGUGAGAGUGUUGGAUAUAAUUUAGAAAAUAGAGUUGUAGUUUAGUUUGGUACACAGGCUUCAGACUAAUAGGUGGCCAGUCUACUAUUUGUUUAUAUUUGCGGAAAUGCAGUAAUGUUAACAUACAUUAUGCUUAUUUUAACAAAAUAAUUGUAAAUGCUAGUUUAGUUGUAACUUGUGUGCUUAUUUGUUGUAUUUUUUUAUAUUCGUAUUAGUUAGUUAAGUUACUUUUUUGUAAGUAUUUAUAAUAAGAAAUUAAGUAAUUACAAAUAUUAAAAUUGGGAUAUAAUUAUAUUUUCAAAUUGGUAUACCUAAUGCACAAUAUUUGUUAUUAAUAUUAAGAUAUCUUUUCCAGAAAUGACUAUAAAUAAAUAAUAUAUUCUAAACUAAGAACAAAGGUUUUUUUUAUCAUGUGUAUACAAUUUUGAGACCCUGAGCAAACAGAGACACAGUGCCGAUAAUCAAUUUGCACACCUUAAAAAACGGCACUGGUUCUUAUUAUAAACAAUCAUUAAUCCAUAAUUAAGCAAAAGAACUGGACUUAAUAAAAGGAGCAGAAGGAUCUUCAAGCCUAGGAUAUUCAAGCAGUAAUUUGUCAAUCUAUUCCAUAGAUGGGAUUCUAGCGUCAUCAUAAAUGCUUUCAUUUGACUAAUUCUAUGGAGAAGGAGUUGUCGAAUUCCCCAUUGUUUCAUUCGUAAAAACAAUUGCCUUCUCCUGAUUAUUCUGUUUAGUAGUUAUCGAAUUCACUACUAUUACAUUCUUACACAUCUUGUCAUAGGAGGCCUUUAUGUAGUCUAAUCCACCAAUAGUAGCAACAUCGUCAUAAUGUUUUUAGUCGUCAAAAUUCUGUUUUCCUUCAACACUACAACUGUUAACUAUACCAAGCUUCUUCUUCAGAUGGACAUACCACUAGUUUUUAAUGUCAUUAUCCGUCCUACCAGGCACGUGUGCUGCAAUGGCAGCCCAUCUACACACACACGAAAUUUAAAUAAAAUUUAAAGUGUCAAAUGCAUUAACAUAAUAAUAUAAAUUUAAUUAAAGAACAAAACAUUUCAAAUGAAAUCCUUAACUGAAAUUUUUUAUAGCAAUACUUUUAGAGUAGUUAAUACUUUUAAAAAAGUAAUAAAAUUUUGUUUGACAUUUUUAUUAGCGGUUUUGAGAUUGUAUCAUUAAACACAUAGGCCAAUACAUUAUUCUUUUAAUUGUCCUAUUUGAAAGACCAAGACAAAUGAGUAAAUAAAAGUGCUGUUGCCGGUUGCCAUUGAGAGUUUGAUGACGGAUAAUUGUCUUAUCUUCCUCGGGGGUAAAAUUUCACCGAUAUCAGGGCUAAGAUGAUUCACCUACCUUAGUCUACAACUCUUACCAUUCCUAUGCAACCCUGUUAAAUUACAAAACUAAUCAGGAUAUAUAACCAAAUACAAACUCGCUAAAAUGAGACAUAAAUUAAUAGCACAGUAUAACAAAAAAAAAGUAGAUAUAUACCUAUGCAAGUUUAGGAAGGGUUGUCUAAUUGCAUGUACCAUGUUUUUGGAUGUAAGACACCAACUUACUAUCUUCUUCAGAAGUCCAUGCUCCUUUCGUUUUUUCUUAUAUUUUCUCAGCCGACCUCCUUAUCUCUCUUUCUUCUUAUCUCCGACUAUAUAUAUGUAAGAGAUAUUAAAAAAUUGUUUAAAUGAGUUGCAUAGUGAAUUGAUAUUUAUAGAUAUAAACCAACUAUUUUUACUUAUUCGUACAAAAGUAAAUAUUUUUUUUGCCCCAGGCGCAAAUAUUAUUUAAUAAUUAUGGAUUUUUAUCCCUUCACCCCAGACAAAUUAAAACAAUAUUAUAUUCAAAUUUAUUGAUUUUUCAAGUACGAACUGAAGUUUUUCUCUUGUCAGAUGAACAUACUCGUAUGGUACAUUACUCGUACAAGAAUAUACUCCAUAAAGAGGAAUUACUUUCUCGUACAAGAAUAUAUUCCAUAAAAAGGAAUUUCUUUCAUUCAAGAAUCUCCCGAGUAUGUACACUUGACAAGAAAAAACCUUGGUUAGUAAUAGAAAAAUCAAUUAAUUUGAAUAUAAUAUUGUUUCCAUGUGUCUAGGGCCAAGGAAUAAAAAUUCAUAAAUAUUAAAUAAUAUAUGGGCCCGAGGGAAAAGAAUCUUUACUUUUGUAAGAAUAGGUGAAAUAGUUGGUUUAUAUAUGUAAAUACCAACUCAAUGUGCAACUCAUUUUUGUAGUUUUUUCAUAUCUCUUGCAUAUGUAUAGUCGAAGAAAGAGAGAUAAUGAGGUCAGCUGAGAGAAUGAAAGAGGCAAAUGAGCAUGGACUUUUGAAGAAGAUAGCAAGUUGGGGUCUUAAGUCCAAGAACAUGGUACAUGCAAUUGGACAGUCCUUCCUGAAAUUGCUGGUAUAUAACUUCUUUUUUUUUGCGAUAAUGUGCUAUUAAUUCAUGUCUCAUUUCGGAUAAGUUUGUAUUUGGCUACAUAUCCUAAUUAGUUUUCUAAUUUAUUAGGGUUGCAGAGGAAUGGUAACAGCUGUAGAGUAAGGUGGAUGAAUCAUCUUAGCCCCGAUUUGAAAGGGGAAAUUUUACUACUGACGAAAGUCAUGUUUAAUAUACAAUCUUAAAGCUGCUAAUUCGUAAAAACAAUUGCUUUCUCCUGAUUAUUCUCUUGAGUAGUUAUCGAAUUCACUACUAUUACAUUCUUGCACAUCUUGUCAUAGUAGGCCUUUAUGUAGUCUAAUCCACCAAUAGUAGCAACAUCGUCAUAAUGUUUAGUCUUCAAAAUUAUGUUUUCCUUCAACACCACAAAUGUUAUCUAUACCAAGCUUCUUCUUCAGAUGGACAUGCCAGUAGUUUUUAAUGUCAUUAUCCGUCCUCCCAGGCACGUGUGCUGCAAUGGCAGCCCAUCUACACAUACACGAAAUUUAAAGUGUCAAAUGCAUUAACAUAAUAACAUAAAUUUAAUUAAAGAACAAAACAUUUCAAUUGAAAUCCUUAGAGCAUUUCCGAUGUGCUCUUUAAACAAGCUCUUAACUUUAAAUUUAAAGAGCAAGCCAAGAAUUAGAGCUUCAAUGGGCUCUUAGAGCAUCUCCAAUAGUCUCUUAGUUAGCUCCUAUAUAUAAUGUAAAAUAUUAAGCUCCCAGGAGGUUAAUACAUUACUAAGAGUUUGAACUCCAAUAAUGCUCUCUAUACACACUCCUAACACUAUAUUUUAUUAUUAUUUAAACUCCACUAUGACAAAAGUUCAAAGUCACAUGGGUGAGAGUGAAUAUUAAAUUAUAAAAAACAAGUUAAGAGCCAUGUAGUGGCUCUUAAAAAAGAGGAGAGAGAAGGGGCUCCUAGUAUUUUUAGGAGCCACUAAGAGCCUAUUGGAGCUCCAUUUUUUCUUAUCCUCUUUAUUUUUGAUUUUAAGAGCCAAUUUAAGAGGCUAUUGGAGAUGCUCUUAGAAACUCUUUAAAAAUUUAAGAGUGUACUCUCUCUCCAUUCUUUUAAAUAGCAUCUAGUAGCUCUUAACUCAAUAUAAUAUUAAUUUCCCUCCAAUCUUCUCUUUCUUUUGGUUGACUUUUUCCUCUCAUUUAUAUAAAAUAUAUAUAUAUAUGUAGAGUCAUGCUCCAUUAAGAACCAAUAUUAGCGUGAGAUAUGAGAUCCAAUCCUAACCACUCAUUUUAUAUCUUAUAUCAAUCUCUCAUCAUACAUUAAUUUUUAAUAUUUAAAUAUUUUAUCACUGUCUUUAUUCUAAUUCCACCACCUGCCACCUCCAACCACUACCGACCACCAUUUCCGGCGACCACCAGAAAAUCACCACCGUCAAACCAAAAAUCACCACCGGAAAACUAAAAAUCACUUCUGGAAAAAUGAAAAUUACCACCAGAAUAUGAAAACUACUACACCCAGCCAUUAUUCAUGCCCACCAGAUCCGGCCACCAACAUCGUUUAUAAACUCCGGUCAUCAACAUCAUGAAAAUAAUCACCAGAUUUUACUGGAAAUCGUAACAAUAAUCGGUACGUACCACCACAUCACCACUAUCACCAUCUACAAACCACCACCACUUUCUACAAAUCCCCCAAAUCUGAAAAAUCACUGAUUACAAAACAAAAUCACUAAAAAGGAACUCCGGCCACCAACAUAAUAACAAUAAUCACCAAAAACGCCAUCAUUCAUCACCGCCAUAAGCAUCUAUACAGACCACCACCAUCUACAAACCCUUCAAAUCAGAAAAAUCACCGAUUACAAAAUAAAAUCACUAAAAGUGAAUAAAAAUGAAUAACCUGCUACUUGAUAAUGCUUGAGGUGUCAGGAAUUAAUUAGGGAGAUUGUAAUCACCAAAUGGAGGUCGGAGAGUCGCCGGAAUGCUCCACCGAUGGACUCUCGUUUGCGAGAACGGGGAAGAGUAGAGGGGAGGCAGAAAGUGACGGGGAGAUAGGGAGGAGAUGAAAGGAGGAUGAGGUUUUGUAUAGUCAAGGAUGUGGAGUGGGGUUGCGAUGUCGCCGGCGGUGACAACACCACCGCGACAUCGGUGGUAGCAGCAAAGAAAGAGGCAGGAGGAAGAAGAGAUUGACGGGAAGGGGAGAAGGGAUUGCUUGCUGUUUGUGUAUGGCCGAGCCCAUCUCAGCAGCGGCGGAGAGAGGGGGUUGAGCCAUUGACGGCGAUGACGGCAACAGGGGGUUGGGGUUUUGAAGAGGUGAGAGAAGACAGUGGGUGAGUAGUGAGGAAGAUGGGUGGAUAAAAGAAUAUUUUAAAAUAGAAAUUGUGUGGUUGCGAUUUAAUUUAGGGGUAAACAUGUGUAGCUGAGAUUAGAUCUCACAUCUCACACUAGUUGGGGUUCUCAUUUGAGCACUUGCAUAUAUAUAUAUAUAUAUAUUAUGUAUUAACUUACUAGGAGCCACAUUUUAUAUUAUUGUUUAAGGAAUGAUUUAGGAGCACCGUUGGAGAUGCUCUUAACUGAUAUUUUUUAUAGUUAAUACUUUUAAAAAAGUAAUAAAAUUUUGUUUGACAUUUUUAUUAGCGGUUUUGAGAUUGUAUCAUUAAACACAUAGGCCAAUACAUUAUUCUUUUAAUUAGCCUAUUUAAAAGAUCAAGACAAAUGGGUAAAUAAAAGUGCUGCUACCGGUUGCUGAAAAAGACUUCAUUAGUUUCUUUACCAAUGUACAUUUUUGGUGUUGGUUGCUUUUCCUGUGAACUUGGAGAAGAAUUACUAUGGCAGUGCACCUCGUGUACACGACUAUUUACAAGCACGGCGCCAACAACUUACCCUUUGGGGGGAUUUACAAUCAUAUGGUGGCCUAAGACUAGAUGGCUUUCUCUUCCCUCAAGUCUUGCUCAAAAUAUUUCAGAUGCCAACUGAAAGUGCUCUGUCUAUGCCUUUUUGAACAACAUUGGUUCAUUUGUUACCUCAUGCCUACAAUCUUUAUCGACCCAGCAACUACGUUCCUCCACAUGUCAGUGGUACGUAUCUUUAUUCAAAUCCUGGUACAGAUUUUUACUCUGCUGCUUGGGAUAUUAUCAUUCCACUAGGAGGUUUGUUGCUUGUUGGAAUCAUAUUUUCGCAGCAAAGAUAUGGUGGCCGAGUUAUCCUUCCUAAGAAAUUCAGGGAGUUGGAAAUGUAUGCAAAAGUGCCAGCAAUUAGUACCUAAUGCUUAAUGAGGAUGUUGCUUAUCUGGUUCAGUAAUUUCUUAAUGUAUGGUUGCUGCAUGUGUGCUUUUUAUUUAUCUCAAAAUGAUGUUUGUUUCUUAAUAUUGGUAAUUUUAUUGCAUUUCCGGCCAUUUCUACAUGACUUUUGUUCGGUUGGUAGACUUUUUGGAAUAAAAUUUUUCUUUUACUUUCUUUGAUCCGCGUAUCCUGAUGUUUCUUUGGGGUAUUUUUUUCCAAACGCUUAGGUUUUAUAUUUAUAUUUUUGUGGGAUAUUUUUGCAUACUCUCUGAUUAGAUAAAAGAUUUUUAUGAAAGAAGUCUACCUUUUUUGAUGUUGUAUUUUGGCAAAAUUCAUUGACGUAAAAAUCUUAUGAAAAAAAUGACAAUAAUAUUUGAUGAAUUGUAGGACAAGGUAUAAGAAAGCUUGAUUUUUAUGGAUUAAUUGAUGUAAAAUCUUAUAGAAUUGACGCGAGUGUAGUCGGAUUUUGGCAUAUUUUUUCUAAACUCUUGUAGAUUUUUGAGAGAUUUUCAAAAUUAUAAAAUACACUAGUAAAACCAUCAAAAUUCACUAUUCUCAGAUAAAGAAAAAUUUCGUCUUUUGUUGAGUAUCAUCAAUUUUUAUGAUAUUUAAAAUUUUAAUUCAAUAUCACGAGAUUUUAAAAAAUUAUUUCUCAUCCUUGUUUAAUAUCACGGGAUUUAAUCAAUUAAUGUUGGUUAAAUAAUUUUGAGAAUAACGUGAAGCAAAUAUAUCGUUCAAAAUAUUGAUUAUAUAUUUUAUAAAAAUCUUAAAGUUUUUUUAGAGAUUUCUAAAAUUAUAACAUAUAUUAAUAAAUCCAUUGGAAUUCUCUACUAUAAAAUCCAAAAAAAGAAAAAACAUCACUUUUUAAGUGGGUGUAUCCGAUUUGGAUUUUAAAUGAUUUUUUUUAAUUCAUCAAAUCUGAGGAUAUUCAAUUAGGAUCUAUUAAAAUUUUGAGAUAUUUAAUUGUGAUUUUCAAUUAUUCUACAAUAUCUUGUACUAUUCAAUAAGUUUAUAUAGAUUCUUCAGAAUUCAAGUACAACACUUUAAAAUCUCAUGAAUUUUGGUGGGAUUUCAAAAAAACUUAAAAUAUAUUGAGAAAUCUUACAAAAUUUAUCAUAAAUUCAAAAAAAAAAUAUCAGCAUUGAAAUAUUAUAAAUUUUAAUGAAUUUUAAACAAUCUUAAUUGGAUACCAUCUAAUUUUAAACAUAAUUUAAAUUUCUGAUUAAAUACCACCAGAUUUUAUAAAAUAAAAUCUUAAUUAAAUAUGCGAAGAUUUUAAACUAUUUAAUUAAAUAUUCUCAGAUUUCAUGAAUGAAAAAAAUCUUUUAAAAUCUCGAAUCUAAUAUAGUUUUGGGUUAAAAUAACUUUUUUUCUCUUUCAGGGAGUUAAAAUAACUAUUGAUAAUAUAUCUGAAUUGAAUAUACCUUGGGGAGGAGUUGAAUAUCUCUUUGUACGGGAGAUAUCUUUCUUGUUCUUAUUUAUUGCCAUUUUACUGUUGUAAUUUUUGAACAUAAUUUAAUAUUCUAAUUGAAUAUCAUCAGAUUUCAUCACAUGAUAUAAAAUCUCAAUUGAAUAUUUCAAUAUUUUAAUAAAUUUUAAAUAAUCACAAUUAAUACUUUCAAAAUUUGUGAAUGAAAAAAUCUUUUAAAAUCUCAAUUGAAUAUAACGUCUUAUUUGAAUUGAAUAUUCAAUUGAAACAUCGGAUUUUUAAACAUAAUUUAAUAUUCUGAUUGAAUAUCACCAUAUUUCAUCACAUGGUAUAAAAUCUUAAUUGAAUAUCUCAAGAUUUUAAUAAAUUUCAAACAAUCUCAAUUAAUACUACCUCCGUCCCUUUUUACUUGUCACCUUUGUUAUUGUGCUGGUCAAAUUGAUUAAAACUUGACUGAAAUUUAUAAAUAUUUUAUCAACUGAAAAAACAAAAAAAAAUAUGUCAUCGAAAAUAAUUUUUAAUCUACACUAAGAUGUAAAGUUCAGUUUUUUAAUAUAAUAAAAAAGUGACUGAUAAUUUUUGGUCAAAAGUUAGUCAAUUUGAUCAAUAAAAAUAAAUAUAAAACAAUUAAAAAGCAAAAUAUCUUUAAAAUCUCGAUUGAAUAUUCCUUCAUACGAAUUGAAUGCAGCUCAAAAUCACAUCACAUAUAUAUAUAUAUUUUGAAUUAUUUCAAUCGCUGUGUUUUUGUGUCUCCUCCUCUUAAAAAAAUAAAAUGGCGAUACAACUUACAGGAUUGCAAACAAGUCACGGCAGAGUCACGGUUGAUAUUACAAAUUAGUGUUAAUCGGUAAGAAGUUAUGAAUUAAUUUCUUUAAGUUCGCUGUUUAAAUCCCUCUUUGCCCCCCCUCCUCUCUCCUUUUCAAGAUUAGGGUUUUUACAAUUCAUAAAAUUGAUUGUUGUAAACUGGGUUCCUGAAUUCAGGUCUUAAAUAGAAGGUGGAAGGUUAAAAUCUGUGAUAUUUAUAUAUCAUAAUUCAGAAUUGUGAUUAACAAUUUACUCCUGAGACUCCUAAGCCUUGAGGUAUGUAUAACUUAUUUACUCGAGUACUUAACCCUCUGUUCCACUGCCUAAUUGUGCUUGAUUGUUAGAGUUUAUUACUUAAUUGCUUUGGAGUUUAAAUCUUAUACCCUUGGACUGUGAAUAAAUGUGUUUCAGAUAUGGUGAAACUGAAACGCAAUCUCGGUUCUUUCUUUAAAAGCUGAUAUGUAAUAAUGACAUCCGAAUCUUGUCGAAAUGGUAAAUGAUAGUCCAUUAUCGUAAUUUUCCACUGGUUUCAGAAUUUCUGUUGCAUAUUAGUAAUUAUUUUGCACUGUUGUCUGUUCCAGGUACUGAGUGAUGUAAUGAAGCACUUCAAAAACUUAAAAAGAAGUAUGAUGUUGUUGUCAAUGUACAAGGGGAUGAACCACUCAUUGAACCUGAAAUUCUUGAUGGGAUUGUUAAAGCAUUGCAGGUUAAUUUGCUAUAUUGAGAAUUAUUCCAUUUUUAUGAACUAUCAGAUAGAUCAUUCUUUUGUUCAGCUUAAUAUUUAAAUAUUAUUGUAGAGUAUUGACAUUAAGUUGUCGUUUAAAGGUGUACAAAAAUAGUAGUACCAGGAUGAACUUAUUUUCCUCCCUUUUUCACAUCGUAAGUUGCUUACCUUUCAGUUUAUAUUAUAUUGUUUAGGCUGCUCCUGCUGCAGUUGUUAGCACUGCUGUGACAGCCUUAGCACCCAAAGAUGCUUUUGAUCUGAAUCGUGUGAAAUGUGUGGUGGAUAUCACUUAUCAGUGGUUAUGCAAGUUAAUUGUCACGAGGAUUGAUUCCUUAUAACAAGUCAGUAUAAUUGCUAUGUUACACCUGGCACUCUGACUUCAGAUUAACCCUUUUGUUCUUUAACGUCUUGCUGGAUGUAUUUAGCUUUUGAAUGUAGGUCAGGGAAAGACACUCCGAAAUUUCCGUACAUGCUUCACCAUGGAAUUCAGGUACUUCAAUAUUCUUAUUAUGUAUUACUAGGCAGUCUCUGUAUUGAUGCAGUAAUGCUAGGUUUUUAAUCUUGUACAAAGUUUAGAUACAAAGUUCCUCAAAUUAUAUUCAGAGCUCCUGCCGACCCCUCUGCAACUAGAUGAAGAUCUGGAACAAUUAAAAUUCCUGGAGAAUGGAUACAAGAUGAAGGUGAAGAUCUGGAACAAUUAAAAUUCCUGGAGAAUGGAUACAAGAUGAAGGUGUGUUUCUAAUUGGGUAACAUUCAUUUUCUCGAUAUUGUCAUAUCAUAUCCCUACUCUUUUAUGUUUCACCAAGAAUCUGAUGGCGGUUGCCGCCGGUGCUCAUCUCCAAUGAGGUAAUAGAUUCAGGAGCCAUGUGGUCGGGAUUACCCGCCAAAUAAACUUACUCGUGCUUCGAGAUGAAGCCUCUCAUUAAAAUCCUCGGCAGGCCCAUGAUCCAGGUCCGGCCCACUUGCUAUUUCUACACCUCAAUUAUUAUAUAUUUGUUGUUUAGGUUGACCCUUUGACUUUCUUGUGAUCGUGUAAAUAUAAUGAAUAAUGAUCGUAGUAAUGUCUAAUGUGCAGACAACAGGUCGAGGAUUUAAGUCUUGUCAUAGUGAGAGUGUUGGAUAUAAUUUAGGAAAUAGAGUUCUCGUUUAGUUUGCUACACAUAGGCUUCAUUUGUUUAGAUUUGAGGAAAUGCAGUAAUGUUAACAUACAUUAUGCUUUUUUUAUAUUCGUAUUAUUUAGCUAUUCAACUUUUUUGUAAGUAUUUAUAAUAAGAAUAAUUAAUUAAUCAAAAUAAAAUAAAAUUGGGAUUUAAUUCUAUUUUCAAAUUGAUAUAUCUAGUACACAAUAUUUGUUAUAAAUAUUAUAAAAUAUUUUCCGGCAAUGACUAUAAAUGAAUAAUAAAUUCUAAAAUAAGAACAAAAAGUUAUUUAUCAUAUGUAUACGAUUUUGGGACCCUAAGCAAACUGAGGCACCGUGCACAUCAGCACGUACACGAAAUUUAAAUAAAUUUUAAAGUGUCAAAUCCAUUAACAUGGUAACAUUGAACUGAAAUCUUUAACUAAUAUUUUUUAUAGCAAUACUUUUAGAGUAUUCACAACUUUUAAAAAUGUAUUAAAAUCGUGUUUAACAUUUUAUUAGCGGCUUUGAGAUUGUGUCAUAAAACACAUAGGCCAAUACAUUAUUCUUUUAACUGUCCCAUUUAAAAGACCAAGACAAAUGAGUCAAUAAAAGAGCAGUUACCGGUUGCCAUUUAGAGUUUGAUGAUUGAUAAUUAUUUUAUCUUCGUGGGGUAAACUUUCCCGUUUGAUAUCAAGGCUAAGAUAAUUCACCCACCUCAAUUUGAGUUCUUACCAUAUGCAACCUGGUAAAUUACAGAAUUAAUCAAGAUAUAUAACCAAGUACAAACUCACCCAAACUGAGAAAUAAAUUAAUAGCACUUUAUGGCGAAAACAAAGGACCUAUAUACCAACAAUUUUAGGAACGUCUGUCAAAUAGCAUGUACCAUGUUCUUGGACAUAAACACCAACUUGCUAUCUUCUUCAGAAAUCCAUGCUCCUUUCUUAAUCUCUUCCAUUCUCUCAGCUGACCUCCCUAUCUUUCUUUCUCCUUCUUUUAGAUUAUAUAUAUGUAAGAGAUAUGAACAAACUCCAUAAAUGAGUUGCAUAUUGAGUUGAUUUUUAUAGAUAUAAACCAACUAUUUUACAUUUUCUUACAAAAGUAAGGAUUUUUUCCUCUCGGGUCGAGAUAUUAUUUUAUAUAUACGGAUUAUUAUCCCUUGGUCCGAGACACAUGAAAACAAUAUUACAUUCAAAUUAAUUGAUUUUUUAAGUAGAAGCCAAAGUUUUUUCUUGUCAAGCGUACAUUAUAUGGAAUAUAUUCUUGUACGAGUAAUGUACCUCUCAAGUAUGUACACCUGACAAGAAAAAAACUUUGGUUUGUACUAGAAAAAUCAAUUAAUGAAUAUAAUAUUGUUAUCAUGUGUCUCGGACCAAGGGAUAAUAAUCUGUAAAUAUUAAAUAAUAUCUGGGCCCGAGGGGAAAAAAUCUUUACGUUUGUAAGAAUAUGUAAAAUAGGUUGUUUAUGUCUCUAAAUACCAACUCAAUAUUCAACUCAUUUCUACAUUUUUUUUCGUAUCUUUUACGGAUAUAUAUUGUCAGAUAUAAAUUGAAAUAAAUAAGGAGGUCAGUUAACAGAAUGGAUGGAAGAGACAAAGGAACAUGGAUUUCUGAAGACGAAAGCAUGUUGGUGUUUCACGUCCAAGAACAUGGUACAUGCAAUUGGACGGUUGUUCCUAAAAUUGUUGGUAUUCAUGUUUUGUUUUUUGCUACAUUGUACUAUUAAUUUAUGUCUUAUUUUUAUAUAUCCUUUUUAGUUUUGUAAUUUGCCUAAUUAGUUUGUAUUGAAUUCAAUGUUGUUUCAUUAGUUAAAACAAUUGCUUUCUCUUGACUAUUUUGUUGAGUAGUUAUCAAAAUCCCUAUUAUUGCAUUUUUAUACAUCUGGUCAUAGUAGACCUUUGCCUAGUCUAAUCCACCGAUAGUGCCAACAUAGUCAUAAUGUUUAUAGUCUUCAAAAUUAUGUGUUCUUUCAGCACCACAACUAUUAACUUCACCACGCUUCUUCUUCAAAUGGACAUACAGUAGUUUUUAAUGUCAUUAUCCGGAUGACCAGGCAGGUUUGCAAUAAGGCACAUACACGAAAUUUAAAUAAAUUUUAAAUUGUCAAAUCCAUUGACAUGGUAACAUAGAUUUAAAUAAAGAACAAAACAUUUCAACUGAAAUCCUUAACUAAUAUUUUUUUUAUAGCAAUACUUUAAGAAAAGUUACUACUUCUAAAAAAGUAUUUAAAUCCUGUUUGACAUUUUUAUUAUCGGCUUUGAUAUUGUGUCAUGAAACACAUACCAAUACAUUAUUCUUUUAAUUUUCCCAUUUUAAAGGCCAAGACAAAUGAGUAAAUAAAAGAGCCGUGACCGGUUGACAUUGAGAGUUUGAUGAUUGAUAAUUAUUUUAUCUUCCUCGGGGGUAAAAUUUUCCCGUUUGAUAUUAGGGCUAAGAUGAUUAACCCACCUCAAUCUGCAGCUCUUACCAUAUACAAGGUAAAUUACAAAAUUAAUCAAGAUAUAUAACCAAGUACAAACUCACCCAAAAUGAGAAUUAAAUUAAUAGCACUGUAUGGCGAAAACAAAGGACCUAUAUACCAACAAUUUUAGGAACGUCUGUCCAAUAGCAUGUAACAUGUUCUUGGACAUAAGACACCGGUUUGCUAUCUUCUUCAGGAUUGCAUGCUCCUUUCUUUUUCUCUUCCAUUCUCUCAGCUGACCUCCCUAUCUUUCUUUAUCCUUCUUUUGGACUAUAUAUGUAAGAGAUAUGAACAAACUCCAUAUAUGAGUUGCAUAGUGAGUUGGUAUUUAUAGAUAUAAACCAACUAUUUUACAUAUUCUUACAAAAGUAAGGAUUUUUUUCCCUCGGGUCGAGAUAUAUAUAUAUAUAGAUUAUUAUUCCUUGGUCCCAGACACAUGAAAACAAUAUUAGAUUCAAAUUAAUUGAUUUUUCUAGUAGAAGCCUAAGUUUUUUCUUGUCAAGCGUACAUUAUAUGGAAUAUAUUCUUGUACGAGUAAUGUACCUCUCAGGUAUGUACACCUCAAGAAAUUUUUUUGGUUUAUACUAGAAAAAUCAAUUAAUUUGAGUAUAAUAUUGUUUUCAUGUGUCUGGGACCAAGGAAUAAAAAUCUGUGAAUAUUAAAUAAUAUCUGGGCCCGAGGGGAAAAAAUCUUUACGUUUGUAAGAAUAUGUAAAAUAGUUUGUUUAUGUCUCUAAAUACCAACUCAAUAUUCAACUCAUUUCUACAGUUUUUUCCAUAUCUUUUACACAUAUAUAUAGUCAAACAGAAAUUGAAAGAAAGAUAAGGAGGUCAGUUAACAGAAUGGAAGAGACAAAGAAAGGAACGUGGACUUCUGAAGACGAAAGCAAGUUGGUGUUUAACGUCCAAGAACAUGGUACAUGCAAGUGGACGGCUGUUCCUAAAAUUGCUGGUAUUCAUGUUUUUUUUUUGCUAGAUUGUACUAUUAAUUUAUUUUUUAGUUGAGUUUGUAUUUGGUUAUAUAUCCUUAUUAAUUUUGUAAUUUGCCCAAUUAGUUUGUGUCGAAUUCCACGUUGUUUCAUUUGUUAAAACAAUUGUUUUCUCUUGACUAUUUUGUUGAGUAGUUAUUAAAAUCCCUAUUAUUGCAUUUUUAUAAAUCUUGUCAUAGUAGACAUGUGCAUAGUCUAAUCCACCAAUAGUGUCAACAUCUUCAUAAUGUUUAUAAUCUUUAAAAUUAUGUGUUCUUUCACCACCACAACUCUCAACUUCACCAAGCUUCUUCUUCAGUUGGACACAUGCUAGUAGUUUUUAUUGUCAUUAUCCGGAUGACCAGGCAGGUGUGCAGUAAUGGCAGCCUAUCUGCACAUACAUGAAAUUUAUAUAAAUUUUAAAGUGUCAAAUCCAUUGACACAGUAACAUAGAUUUAUAUAAAGAACAAAACAUUUCAACUGAAAUCCUUAACUAAUAUUUCUUAUAGUAGUACUUUUAGAAAAGUUAUUACUUUCAAAAAAGUAUUAAAAUCUUGUUUGACAUUUUUAUCAUGGGCUUUGAUAUUGUGUCAUUAAACACAUAGGCCAAUACAUUAUUCUUUUAAUUGUCCCAUUUUAAAGACCAAGACAAAUGAGUAAAUAUAAGAGUCCUGACUAGUUGCCAUUGAGAGUUUGAUGAUUGAUAAUUAUCUUAUCUUCCUGGGGCCCGGGGGUAAAAUUUCCCCGUUUGAUAGCAGGGCUAAGAUGAUUUACCAACCUCAAUAUGCAGCUCUUCCUAUAUGCAACCCUGGUAAAUUACAAAACUAGUGAGGAUAUAUAACCAAAUACAUUCUCCAAAAAUGAGAAAUAAAUUAAUAACACAAUUUAGCAAAGAAAAAGUACAUAUAUACUAGCAAUUUUAGGAACAUUUGUCGAAUUGCAUGUACCAUGUUCUUGGACGUAAGACACCAACUUGCUAUCUUUUUCAGGAGUUCACGCUCCUUUCUUUGUCUCUUCUGCUCUCAACUGACCUCCUUAUUUUUCUUUCUCCUUUUCGACUAUAUAUAUUUAAGAGAUAUGAAAAAAUUGCAGAAAUGAAUUGCAUGUUGAGUUGGUAUUUAUAGAUAUAAACCAACUAUUUUACAUAUUCUUACAAAAGUAAAGAUUUUUUUUCCCUCGGGCCUAGAUUUUAUAUAAUAUUUACAUAUUUUUAUUUGUUGGCCCUAGUUACAUGAAAACAGUAUUUAUAUUCAAAUUAAUUGAUUUUUCUAGUAGAAACCAAAGUUUAUUCUUGUCAAGCGUACAUUUUAUGGAAUAUAUUCUUGUACGAGUAAUGUACCUCGGGUAUGUACACUCGACAAGAAAAAACUUAAGUUUGUACUAGAAAUAUCAAUUAAUUUGAAUUUAAUAUUGUUUUCAUGUGUCUUGGCCAAGAAUAAAAAUUUGUUAUAAUUAAAUAAUAUCUAGGCCCGACGGAAAAAAAUCUUUACUUUUGUAAGAAUAUGUAAAAUAGUUGGUUUAUUUCUAUAAAUACCAACUUAAUAUGCAACUAAUUUCUGCACUUAAUAUGCAACUAAUUUCUGCAGUUUUUUUAUAACUUUUACAUACAUAUAGUCAAAAAGAAAUUGAAAGAGAAAUAAGGAGGUUAAUUGACAGAAUGAAAGAGAUAAAGGAAGGAACAUGAACUUCUGAAGUCGAGAGCAAGUUGGUGUUAUAUGUCCAAGAACAUAGUACAUGCAAUUGGAGAACCCUUCCUAAAAUUGCUGGUAUAUAUGCAACUUUUAUUUGCUAAACUAUUCUAUUAAUUUAUGUAUCAGGUUAUAUAUCCUUAUUAGUUUUGUAACUUACCUAAUUAGUUUUGUAAUUAACAUGGUUACAUAAAUUAGCAUUUCAAAUGAAAUCCUUAACUAAUAUUUUUUUUAUAGCAAUACUUUUAAAAAAGUAUUAAAAUCAUGUUUGACAUUUUUAUUAGCGGCUUUGAGAUUGUGUCAUUAAACACAUAGGCCAAUACAUUUUUCUUUUAAUUGUCCCAUUUAAAAGAUCAAGACAAAUGAGUAAAUAAAAGAGCCGUUAUCAGUUGUCAUUGAGAGUUUAAUAGUUUGAUGACUAAUAAUUAUCUUAUAUUUCUCAGAGGUAAAAUAUCCUCGUUUGAUAUUAGGGCUAAGAUAAUUCACCCACCUCAAUCUGCAGUGUUAUCAUUCUUAUGCCCAGGUAAGUUACAAAACUAAUCAGGAUAUAUAUAUUCAAAUACAAACACACCCAAAAUGAGACAUAUUUUAAUAGCACAUGCACAUCAUAGCAAAAAAAAGUACAUAUAUACGAGCAAUAUUAGGAACGGCAGUCUAAUUGCAUGUAUGUAACAUGUUCUUGGCCGUAAGUCACUAACUUGCUAUCUUCUUCUAAAGUCCAUGCUCCAUUCAUUGUCUCUUCCUUUCUCUCAUCUCACCUCAUUAUAUCUCUUUCUCUUUCUCAUCAACUAUAUAUAUGUAAAAGAGAUGAAGAAAUUGUAGAAAUGAGUUGCGUUUUGAGUUGAUAUUUAUAAAUAUAAACCAACUAUUUAACCUAUUCUUACAAGAGUAAAGUUUUUUUCCCCUCUCGGGCCCAAAUAUUAUUUAAUUUUUAUGGAUUUUUAUUACUUGACCCCAGACAUAUGAAAACAAUAUUAUAUUCUAAUUAAUUGAAUUUUCUAUUAUGAAACAAAGUUUUUUCUUGUCAGGUGUACAAACUCGAGUAGUUCUUGAAUGAAAGAAAUUUCUAUGGAAUAUAUUCUUGUACAUGAAAAAAAUUCCUCUCUUUGGAAUAUAUUCUUGUAUGAGUAAUGUACCUCUCGAAUAUGUUCACCUGACAAGAAAAAAACUUUGGUUUGUACUUGAAAAAUCAAAUAAUUUGGAGAUAAUACUGUUUCCUUGUGUCUGGGGUGGAGGAAUAAAAAUUCGUAAAUAUUAAAUAAUAUAUGGGUCCGAGGCAAUUACUUUUUUUAAGAAUAGGUAAAAUAGUUGGUUUUUAUCUAUAAAUACCAACUCAUUUCUGCAGUUUUUUCAUAUAUUUUGCAUAUAUAUAGUCGAAGAGAAGGUGAAAGAGAAAUAAGGAGGUCAGUUGAGAGGAUGAAAGAGACAAAGAAAGGAACAUGGACUUCUAAAGAAGAUAGCAAGUUGGUGUCUUACGUCUAAGAACAUGGUACAUGCAAUUAGAUAGCCGUUCCUAAAAUUGCUGGUAAAUAUGUACUACUUUUUCUUCUUUUUUUUUGGCAAUACCGUGCUAUUAAUUUUUGGUGAGUUUGUAUUUGGUUAUAUAUCCUGACUAGGUUUGUAAUUUACCUGGUUGCAUAGGAAUGGUAAGAACUACAGAUUAAGGUGGGUGAAUCAUCUCAGCCCUAAUAUCAAACGGGGAAAUUUUACCCCCAAGGAAAAUAAGAUAAUUAUCCGUCAUCAAACUCUCAAUGACAACCGGUAACGGCUCUUUUAUUUACUCAUUUGUCUUGAUCUUUUGAUGGGAUAAUUAAUGUAUUGGCCUUUGUAAUGACACAAUCUCAAAGCCGCUAAUAGAAAUGUCCAACAAAAUUUUAAUACUUCUCUAAAAGUAGUAACUAUUCCAAAAGUAUAGUUAAAACAAAAGGGUCUUGUUCCCUGACAUAUGGUUGUCAGGGAACGGUUAUUUGACACAUGGUGCCACAGCCGUUGGAUCGAUGAUCCAACGGCUGUGGCAAAAGAAAACAUUUUUUCCUAUCCGCGCUUAAAAACCGCGGACACUGUGUCUAUCCGCGCUUUUUUGCGCGGACACAUACCCUUUCCGCGGUAAAAAACCGCGGACAUUCCAGAAUGUUUUGCACGCACACUUUAUAACCUAGGUGAUCAACUUCACUUGUGUUGAUCUUGUUUUGGAAAGUGCAGUGGUGAUUUUGUUGAUCUUUUAGGCAAGAAUCUGAUCCAUCUUCCAUCUUUGUCUUGGGUAAGCUUAAUUUGUAGUAGUGUUUUGUUGAUUUUGUUUGUACAAUAAUGGAUAAAAUGUUUGCAAGAUUUGAAGGUAGAAAAAGUUUGAAAAAAACCAAGAAUGUUGAUGUACAUGAUGAUAAGGUUGAAUGUGGUCAUGAUAGAGACAAUAUUAAGUAUGUUGAAGUUGUUGAUAGUGAUGAUGAGGAGUUAGUUAGUGAAGAAUUUGAUGAAAGUGAUAAAAUGUAUGAUGAUAUAGGUAGUAUGCAUGAAAGUAGUGGUAAUUUGCAUGAUCAUGGUGAGGAUAAUGUUGAUGGAGAUGACCCUAUUAUUAUUCCCCACUUGAAUCAACAAUUUCCUAAUUUACAAGCCGGGGAGAAUAUGUUUAGGGCGUAUGCUUUAAAGAAUGGUUUUGCAAUUAAGAUACAAAACACACAGAAGCGUGCCAAAGAUAAAUCCAUAUAUGGUCGAUUGUAUGUUUGUAAUUUAGCGGGAGAAACUCGUGGGAAAAACCCCGUUGAUGACGAUGAAAUUUUGAUUGGUAGUCUUGGUAGUGUUAAGGGCAAACGGCGUAGAGAUGUGCUUCCUAGGAGUGGUUGCAAAGUUAGAAUGUACUUGGUUAAUAAGAAAAAAACAAGUCAUUGGGAGAUAACCGGUUUGGAAUUAGAACACAAUCACCAAGUUGUUACCCCUUCUAAGAUGAGUUUGAUAAGACGGGAGAAACGUGUUAGCGCGGCACAAAAAAAUUUGAUCAAGAGCUUACAUGUUUCGGGUGUCCAACCAAGACAACAAAUGAAUAUAUUUGGUAAAAUGCACGGAGGAGCGGAACAAGUAGGUUUUAACAGCCAAAAUUUAAGAAAUGUCGUACGUGAUUUUAGGAAGGACAACAUGGGAGUUAAUGAUGCUCAAGCCGGUUUGGAUUUGUUGUACCGUUUGCAAGAAGAGAGCGGCGGUAAGUUUUUCAUCAAGACUCUCCUCGAUGACGAACAAAGAUUGAAGUGUCUUGUAUGGGUCGAUCCCCGCUCUUUGAUGGCCUACAAAAACUUCGGUGAUGUGGUUGCGUUUGACACUACAUAUCGAACUAAUAGGUAUGCUAUGCCGUUUGUGCCUUUCACCGGAGUCAACCAUCACUAUCAAUCAAUACUUUUUGGUUUUGCACUCGUUCGGGAUGAAUUGAAGACAACUUUUGAGUGGGUUUUGAGUACUUGGCUAGAAGCAAUGAAGGCAAAUACCCUUGGUUAUCAUAACCGAUCAAGAUCAAGCCAUGGCCGCGGCUAUUGAAUCACAACUUCCGAACACAUCACAUUUGUUAUGCUCAUGGCACAUUAGCAACAAAUUCCCCGAGAAACUUGCAACAUAUUAUUCGAAGGAAGGGUUUAAAUUUGAUUUCAACAAUUGCAUAUAUCACUCUUUGACUGAAGUUGUGUUUGAAGAUCGGUGGAAUGCUUUGGUUUUGAAGUACAAUUUGGAAGGCAAUACAUGGCUUCAAGGGUUAUAUGCUUUGAAGCAUAAGUGGGUCGAGGCUUACACAAGAAACACUUUUUCUGCGGGUCAAAAGACCACAUCAAGAAGUGAAGGAAUGAAUGCAUAUUUCGAUGCCUAUGUUGGUUCUUGCACCGGUUUGAAAGAUUUUGUAGAGGGUGCACAAAAAGCUUUGGAGAGGCAAUUCAUGCGUGAGAAAGACGAGGAUUAUGUGACGUUUCAUAGAAGUCGUUGCAUGCAAAUGAAAACCGCUCUGGAGCACCACGCAGCUUCCAUUUAUACGAAAGAAAUGUUUCGAAGAUUUCAGGAACAAUUGGUUGAAUCAUCUAAGUACUUUGUGGAGAAAGAUAGAGAUCGGUCCUUGGAAGAUGUUCAAGACACGUUCUACAAAUGUUAUAGACCGUUGAUGCGUGCUUCUCAGAGAAACACGUAUCUUGUAUCAUUCAACAAGGUGUCAUUAUGGGGUUCAUGCAUUUGUAAAAUGUAUGACAAUGUUGGCAUACCAUGCCGUCACAUUAUUGCCGUCUUGACGAAGAGGUGUGUGGCGGAACUACCGGAACAUUUUGUGAAACGGCGUUGGACAAGGGACGCCAAUAGAGUUGAUGGCAAGUUGCCAUAUCACACGUCCGAAUUUCAAUCACCAUCUCAUGAAAUGACUCCCACGGAAAGAUUCAACCACAUGACAUUACUUACCAUGGCGUUUAGUCAUAGUUGCAUGGCAUCGAAAGAGCGGUAUGAGUAUGCCGUUGGGGUUAUUAAUCGGGAAACAGAAAUACUUGAGAGCAUGCCCGUUGACGGGGUCGAAAAUGAAGGAGGUGAAUUAAAUCCAAAAACAACUCAAGAAGGUGGUGAGAAAUUGCAUGAGAGUAUCCUUGACCCCUUGGUGUCGAAAACAAAGGGACGGAAAAAAGAGCACCGCUUUAAAAGCCCCGUUGAGGAACUUACAAAAACAAAAAGAAAAUGCCGAUAUUGCAAUAUGUUGGGACAUGAUGUUAGGACGUGUCCCAAAAAAAAAGAAGAUGAUUUAAGAAAAGCUCAAACUGGCCAAUUGUAAUUCACAUUUUAGAAAAAUUUCUCUUAUGUUUUACUUGUGGUUUAUUUGUCCUUCGUAUGAGUUGGUGUAACUAACUUGUUCUUUGUUGGAUUUGUAGGUGAAAUGGCCGACGGUUCGGAUGAUGAGUCAGUGUCACACGUCAGCAACUCAAUCUCGGACUCGGAAGAAAUGUGUGAUUCACCUAGUUUUAGCUUCUUGGAGGACGCGAUUCGUGAGCUCGACGAACUUGCAGAAAUGUACGAACCACCAUCCCACUCGGAAGAAAUGUGUGAUUCACCUAGUUUUAGCUUCUUGGAGGAAGCAAUUCAUGAGCUAGACGAAUUGGCACAGAUGCACGAACCACCUCCCCAAUUGGAGGAAGAAGACACCGAGUUGUACCCGCCUGAGGAAGCGGCCUACCGGUCAAGAAAUUGGACCGAAGCUUGUCAGUGGUGUGCAAGCGAUAACAUGUUCGAAAGGGUGGCUUAUAACUUGACCCCAUAUUUUCUACCUAUUUUGAACUUGGGUAAGGACUAUCCCGACGGGCCAAACAAAGUAUCGUUGUGGGAUGGUGGUGAUAUUGUGACGUGUGAUAGGAUAGCCGACAUUAUGAAGUUGAGGCCUCGCCCGGGUUGCACGCGUGACCAAAUGCGAAUUGAAUAUGUCAAGGGGUGGGUGUCCAACCUUCGUGGUGAUGAUACGGGAAAAUGGAUAACGCGCAAAGAACCAUGGAGCAAAUUUCGUCUCUACGAUGGGUCUAAUAGCAUUCAUGUCACACUAUGGAAUGAUCACAAUACGCAUGCCAAUGUGACCGAAGGUGUGCUCCGUGAAGGUUGUGUUGUUGUGCUGUAUUGGGUGGCAUGCUUCAUUAGAGCCGAUGCGACGCCCGGGCAUUCCACACACCGACUAUCGGGAGGCUUCUCCAACAUUUUAGCAGUGUUUAGUUAGUUAGCUUCCCCGUACCGGAUUAAUGUUGAUUUCAGGUUUUAUAUGUAUUUUUGUGUAAUCGCAACAAAAUAGACACCGUUCGAUGUAUUAUUGACAUUGAAAUGACAAUAUUAUGUAGUAAUUUCUUUGUUAGUGCUAACAUUGUCAAAAUGGUACGAGGUUUUGUCAUUACUUCAAUUAUGGUGUUUCUAGUCUAUUGUAAUUUAUUUAUGAUUUUUGAACGUGUCUAUUCGCGGCAAUAUGCAUGCAAAGUUCACAAAAUUGUUCAAAGUGGUCAUUUUCCAAACAAAUGGCAAUAGGUAAUGAAAACUUAUUGUAUGAACUUUUAAAAGUCAUAAUGUGGUUAAGGGGUCCUAGAAGAGUAUAUAUGAGCAUGAAAGACAGUAAGAGGAGCUGAAAAAAAAAAUAUUCCCACUGGAAUAUCCGCGGUAAAUAACCGCGGACACUCCAGUCCAUCCGCGGUUUUUUAGCGCGGAUACUCCAGUGGUGACAGGUUGAAUGUGCAGUCUGUUUCUGCACAUUCCCACCUGUUUUCAACAGUGUCAAACAGUUCAAAUUACAUACAAACCUGAAUAAACAGCAUUCCAACAACAAUCUCCCAAAGAAAAAUUUGACCAAAUUUUUCGAAGCCUUCAAAUAUGCCCCAAAACGUCAAAAAUUCUCAAACAUCCAAAAAAUGAGCAUACUCCAAAAAUUCUCAAAUUUAAUCACAAGAUAGAGAUUGACAUUCCUAACAAUAUGCAAUAAAGGGGCGGGGGAAACUCAAACGAGAAACACAUAAACAAAAAUUGAAUGAAAGGGGUCGGGGGGUGGACACGGUCGAUAAACGACCGAUAUAAUCAACAACCAAGAUAUAUUGAGAUUGAAAUAAAGUAAACUACAUCGUUCAACUUGAAUAUAUAUAACGUAAAUGUCAUAAACUACGAAAAUGUCAUAAACUACGAGACUAAGAAAAUGUCAUAAACUACGAAAAUGUCCUAUUCCUUGGCUCCUUCUAGCCUUUGCCGCAUAAGAUGACUAGGGAUUCGCCUCGCUCUCCCUUUCUGAAGCUCUUUUGCAAUCCUAAAGCGGAAUAGGUCAACAUCCGAAGUAUCCCACGUCAAGGUGGAGAGGUCAUAACCUUGCAAGGUGUAGUCCAUGUACUUGCAGACGAAGACCCCGCAAUCAAAAUGAUUUUGCUGCUUCGGCAUCUCAUCCCAAACAUGAACUAGAGGGUCCUCUUGCGGGAACUUUUGACCCUUGGCAAGAAAACGAAGCAUCCCUCCAAGUACACCGACCUACAAACAACAAAAACAUGAAAACAAACAUCAGAACAAAACCAUCAUGUAUAUUAGUAGAAGAGGAGUGAAGGAUUUAGUACCAUUGCUUCUUCUUCGUCUGGAUAUUCAGACUUAUCGUUAUAAGGAUCGAGAACCAUGAUAGCCCACUUCUUCACAGCAAAGACCAUGAGAAUCCAGUGAUUGUCAUUGACAUUUGUGGGAACAAAUAUGUAGUCCACCUGGUUGAUUGCUGGACCAACCCCACAGCUUCCCCACUUCAAAUAAAAGUGCUUCACCCUCUCCGUCAUAUUUUUGUAGUCCACUUCCAUGGCCAACGGGAUGAAGAAGGGAUCCAUGAAGUAGUACGUAGGCUCCCUGGGGUGGAUGCCCUCUGCAGCAAUUGCUUCCUCCCGAUCACGUAACAACCACUGCAUCAAAUUAUCAUAUAUACAUAAUUAAACAGAACUAUACAAAUACAAAUAUAAAUGAACGUACAACAUUGAACAAAGACAAAUACAGAGACAACAUGAACAGAAAUUGUACCAUGUAUGUGUAGAUGAUCCGAUCAUCUAACCAUCCACCGGGGGCCAGACUCUGCAUUGAGAUAGGGGCAAGCGUGAACAUAAGAUCAUGUCUUAUACCACCCUCGAGACCCACUGUCAUACCCCUCCCCCAUCCCCAGUCUCUCCGGAUAGUAUCCAUCUUCUCCUGUGUCAAUGUGCGGAGAUGCCUGAUAUAGCGUGGAUGGACAACAUUCCUACUACUAGUAGGAAAAAGGAUAGAGCCUACCACGAAGAACAUAUAGGCCUGUGUGUGAACAGCUAUACGCCUCGGAUCAGGACCUGGAUCAGCACUCCCAUAGGUCUCAAACAACCAAGUCAGCCUCACCCCUCCUCUAGUAAAGCCAUCCUUCACCUGCUGANAACGCCGGGGGCGUAUAUGCCGGGCCUCUAACCGUCUGCAUGAAUCGGCAGUACGGCUCAAUAAAUAUAGGAGCAAUCCUGCUGAACUCGUCAUGAUACUCUGGCGGUAUGGUAGAGUCCAUCCUCUGCAGGCAUUCCAGACCCUUCUGGAUCUGCAUAUAGUUUUAUGAUAUGCAAUCAAAAAAGUGACAAACUUGAAUACAAAUGAAAUGGGAGAUAAACUUGAAUACAAAUGAAAUGGGAGAUAAACUUACAAGCUGAUAGGCCUGGAAGUUGUCAAACAACUCCCGAGUAGAGUACUUAGGCUGCGGCACUGGCUCUGGCUUCCCGACUCGCAAUCGAGAAAUCUCCGUGUACCAAUGCAUGUAUCCGGUGUCAUCCACUGCGUGAGAACGGUGAGCCACUACAACCUCAGGAUGCUCCACGAAACGGGACCAGUCACCAAUCUCCGCAAACCAUAUGGCACGCCAAUCAAUGGGAUUCCAUGGCAGCUUAGGCUGCCUGUAGUCUGUCAUCGAAACUGGGGGUGGUGGGAUGCCCUGUGGCAGUCCAAACUGUCUCAACACUCGCUCGGGAUGCUGGUACUCCACAAUAUCAUAACAGAGCAAUGGUACCCUAGCUAGGCCAGCAAAAUGUGCCUCCCAAUCCUCAGCAGAAAUGUCAUGAUCCCCGUCUGAAUCCUCCUCUAUCUCGUGAAAAUGAGCAUAGGGCAUCCAACUAACUAUAUCGCCAGCAACUCCAUCAAACUCGCCUUUGUAAUGUGGCAAGCUAUGAUGAGGAGCCGCCGAACUAUCCCGCCUCCCCCGUUUCCUCUUGCCGCCCACAAUCCAACCCUCCUCGGUAUCCUCCUCCUCCACAGUCUCAUCCUCCUUUCCCUUCCCCUUCCCCUUCCCCUUCCCCUUACCCUUACCCUUCCCCUUUCCCUCCUCCUCCUCCUGACCCUUCCCCGUCUUACCCUUACUCCCCUUCCCCUUCAACUCCUCCUUCCCUUUACCCUUCCCCAUCCCCGUCUCCUUCCCCGUCUUCCCCUUCUUCCCCGUCUCCUUCCCCGUCUCCUUCCCCGUCUUCCCCUUUUUCCCCUUACCCUGGACCUCAACAACCUCCUCCUCUACCGGCUCCUCCAUGUACACAAUCUCAUCGGGCCUGGCCCAGAACUCAGCUGCCGGGUAACUAUCCCUGCUAGGAUCCGGGAUCGGUCUCCCGAUAUCAAACCUCUCGUAACUCCACAACAUCAACAACCAGACGCAGCAGGAGAUCUUCUUUGACCCCUUCUGUGCAGCUGUAGUCAGACCCCUGUACAGAUAUGAAAGGACUGCUGAUCCCCACGACCAUGUACGCACAUGGCUCAGUGUGCGAAGAUGCCUGAUAUAGCGUGGAUGGACAACAUUCCUACUACUAGUAGGAAAAAGGAUAGAGCCUACCACGAAGAACAUAUAGGCCUGUGUGUGAACAGCUAUACGCCUCGGAUCAGGACCUGGAUCAGCACUCCCAUAGGUCUCAAACAACCAAGUCAGCCUCACCCCUCCUCUAGUAAAGCCAUCCUUCACCUGCUGAGGAGUCAACUCCUCAAACCAUGCCCUCUCGAAAUAUGACUGGUUACCGUCAAUACCAUCUCCAACUAGUGGCCGACCCACAACAGGUAAUCCUAGUAUGUAGCCAACAUCCUCUAGAGUGACUGUCAUCUCCCCCUGCCUCAUGAAGAAGGUAUUGGUCUCGGGCCACCCCCUCUCCACUAAUGCACUAACAAGCCUUGUAUCAUUCUGAAGAACAAUCCUAGGGUUGGCAAACACGCCAAAGCCAACCAUAUGCAAAAUCUCCCUCUGCGCGUCUGAAAGAACCCAAUGCCUUAAGGACCGGUUACUAGACAUACACUCCAAAGGACCACGCUCGACUCCAUUCCAAACAUCUGAACUCACAUGGUACGAGUUAUCCACGAUAACUGCUCCACUAACAGGACCCGGCAAAAUAUCAUCCAUCCUGAAACACAAAUACCAAUCCACUUAGCAUACCAUCAAUUACUAACCGAAGCAUACCAUGAAUUGACAAUUUACAAUCUAUAAACUUAACAUACUAUCAAUACACUUAGCAUACCAUCAAUUACACUUAACAAAUACCAUCAAUUACACUUAGAAUACUAUCAAUUACACUUAACAAAUUCCAAUCCAACAAUCAAUAAACCACAAACCAACAAUAAUUUACGAUUGGUAGCAGAAGAUACCAUCAACUACACUUAGCAUACUAUCAAUAUCCAACAACAAUUAGCACUAAAAACAAACAAUUCUAACUAAAAUUUACUUUGAGGCAUUUUCACGAACACUUAGCAUACUAUGAAUUACACAUCAUCCAUAACAAUGCAUUUAUCAAAUCAAUACCCAACAAUCAAUUACACAUAAUCACUACAUCCAAUCCAAUCCAAUCCAAUCAAUUACACAUAUUCUCGAUUGCAAUACAUACAUACAAUCCGGAAAAAAACAAUUUAUAUACACAUACACGCGAGGAUAUAUAUACACGCACCUUAAGAAUCGUGUUCUUGAAGCUUGGGAGGUUUGUGUAAUCGCUUUCUUGCAGUUGUGAGAGGGUGAGAGGGUUUGUAAAAUCGGGUGCCAUAGCAGUUUUUGUGUUUGUGUUUGAAUAUAACUGUCACUGAUCAUAUACAUGCGUUUGCGCGUUUUAAACCAUUCUGGAAUGUCCGCGGUUUUUUACCGCGGAAAGGGGGAGUGUCCGCGCAAAAAAGCGCGGAUAGACACAGUGUCCGCGGUUUUUAAGCGCGGAUAGGAAAAAAUGUUUUCUUUUGCCACAGCCGUUGGAUCGAUGAUCCAACGGCUGUGGCACCAUGUGUCAAAUAACCGUUCCCUGACAACCACAUGUCAGGGAACAGGACCCAAAACAAAAUUAGUUAAGGAUAUCUGUUGAAAUGUCUUGUUUUUUAUUUAAAUCUAUGUUAACGGAUUUGACACUUUAAAAUUUAUUUGAAUUUCGUGUAUGUGCAGAUGGUAUGCCAUUGUUGCACAAGUGCCUAGUAGGACGGAUAAUGACAUAAAAAACUACUGGCAUGUCCAUCUGGAAAAGAAGCUUGGUGAAGUUAAUAGUUGUGGUGUUGAAGGAACACAAAAUUUUGAAGACUUUAAACGUUAUGAUGAUAUUGCUACUAUUGAGUAUACAGAGAACAUGGGAACGUGCAAACUUGGCGACAACGCUGGACCAUGUUGGUAAAUCAUUGACCUCUAUUGAUCUGUUUUUGUUAAAGGCGUUUUGGCAUAAUUUUUGAAACUAACUUCAUGUUUUUCUAUUAGUUCACCAUCUCCUUACUUUAAAGAUAGUAUGGUUUCUUUCCUUGGUACACAAACCUAUUGAUUUUAUAGUGAAUUUCAUAGUUUCUGUGGUGCACAGUGCAUAAGCUUUUAGUCUUUUGGCUGUCCGAGUCAAGAUAGGUUGCUUCCCGUAAUAUGUAUUUGUUUUCCACUUAAAGCAGAGUCAGUGCUCUCCUGCAUUUCCACUUCUCCGAAUCAACCAGGACUAAUGGUGGUUUUAUCUAGGGUAGCAUACAAGUACAAGAAAUCAAAGUGGCCUGCUUUUCUUUGAGCAGUAGAACAUGACAUCAUCCGCUUUCCCUAGUUAUAAGGAACGGCAAUCCUUAUGGAGGAUUGAUUUAGAGAUCACAGUGGUUCUGAAUGGUUAGAAGUGAAUGAGGUGAUUGUAAGAGUUGCUACAAUGGUAGCCUUUGUCAUGCAAUUUCGCCUUCUUAGGUAAGACGACCGCAUAGAUUAUCACCCAGCCAGGGACACCAGUAAGUAUUCCCGUGUACUAUAUACACACACACUUUUAUAUAGGUCUGGUUUUUUAUUCAAAAUAUAAAUAAAUAAAUAUAUUCGAGAUACCAAAUAAAUUCAAAAAUAUAUUAAAUUUAUUUCAGAUUUAUUUUUAAAAGUCAACUGAAAAUGCUAAAACUGGGCUUGUUGAGAAUGAUGCGCCAAAGGUUGAGCAAGAAGGUCGAAAAAGAUAGUAUAAAAAUUAUUAGAGAUCAUUCUCCAAAAAAUUUAAGUGACAAACAUUUUUCUAAAUAUGGGAUAACUUUUUUGAAAUCUAAAUCAGCCUUCAAUCAGCCUGGACUGCACGACAUGCUGGCUAGAGUACUCAACCGGACAUACCAGUUAAGAUAAAGACUUUAUUGGUUUUAUUAUUUAAAUCUAAAUCUAGUCAAAACAUAAAUAGGUACACUUUAAUAUUAAAUUGACUUUUCACUUUUCAUUACAAAACUCAUUUCAUUUAUUUAUAUAUUUUGUCACAAACCGAGCACUAAACUGAAGUCAACAGAAACUAUCAACUGCUUGUUCCCAGGCCACAAGGGAAUACUUCCAGGUUGCGUUGGCAGUUGGAUCAGACGACUUUUUAUAUAAAAAAAAUUACAUAUUAUAUAAAUAAAAAAAACUAAAAAGUGUUAUAUUGUUUUAAGUCACUAUGAAUAAGAUAUAUUAUUUUAUUUUGAUAAUAGAUAAUGUUGAAUUUUGUAACACGGCCACGUCCAUAACUUCGACAAUUAUAACCAGUGGCGGAACCAGAGUUUAUAAUCAGAGAGGGCCAUUUUUACCCAUAAUAAAGGCCGGAAUAUGCUGGAAAAAGGUUAAAAAAAAGUUAAAAAAAUGGCUUCACAGAGAAUUGAACAUUGGUCUUUGGAUUGCUACACCCCAUCUUCUACCACUUGAUCUACAUAAAACAUGUGAUUAUAGAUUAUAUAACAUGUAUUUAUAGAAAUGUCGGGGGCCCAGGCAGGUCCUAGGCCCAACGUGGCUCCGCCACUGAUUAUAACUAUGUUAAAUUUUUUAGACUUGAUCGAAGAGAAGAAUAUCUUCUAUAUUGCCUUUAAUUUUUAUUUUGUGAUAAAAUUUAUUCAAUUUUAACUAAGAUUGUUAGAGAACGGCAAGAUAGAGACAAAAUUAACGUGGUACGUAAUUAAAAUAAUUCUUCACCAAAAAAUAUACAAUGGGCUCUAAAAUAUAAUUGGAAGAUUCCAUUUAGCGAGUAAAUAUGGUACAACUUGGCAUGCCAGCUGCCUCGCCCAAGCAACUGGUACAAGACUAUGAGUUGACCUGUUACAUCCAUGCAAGCCAAACUAUUUGUAACUAAACACUUCAGUUCUUGAAACAUUCACUCUUCAAGGUGAAAAUUUUCAUAAUAUCCUGCUUUGUUAUAAAUAAUGUUGAGUUCUGGCCAAUCUACAUGGCCUCAUAUUCUUGUCUUGUUGAUUCUGUACAAGUUCACAAUUUCAGCAAGUAAAUCAGUCUCUUACACCAAACACUGUGCUUCUGUUGUCCCUGCGGCAACUCCAACAACUUAUGAUACAAAUGUCCCCUUUUCUGAACUGGAUACCUUAAAUUCUUUUGUGCCAGAGCCUCGAAGAAUCUUCCGCCAGAAUUCUUCUGUAACUUCUCUCAAUUUUCGCUCAGUAGGACGUAUCUAUGAAACAGAUCUUAAAGGUGUUUACAAGAUUGAUGCUGAGUUGAGAAUACGGGUUUAUAAUUAUAUUGAUGAUACUUAUGAUUUUGUGAGCACUUCAACUCAGGGAAGAUCAUCUCGACGUCCUAGGAGGUUUGAACGGUUGAUAUUCUUGAUACAUGGAUUCUGGUCAGAGUCUUCUGGGAAAGGCUGCUUAGUGGGAUCUGCUCCUUGGUACUCAAGUAAAGGUGAGCAUAUCACUCUUGAAGCUAUGUUUAAGAUAAAUUUUUCUAUGAGUUCAACAUAUUCUAACAGUUUUGUAACUGGGGAAUUCGAAAGCUUGAGUCAUUUGAAUGAUGAUAGUUACUUUAAUCCGAUUUCAGUAUAUUCUGUUCCUGAAGUAACUUGGUAUGAGUAUAAGUUAAUAUCUGAGGAAACUGUGAAAGAAUACUAUGUAUUUCAUAAUGCUGAAAGUUCAGUUCCUGGUUCAAAACUUGGAAAGAUAUGUUCGUUUUUCAACAAAAUGCAUCUCUCUGAUUUUUCUCUGGAGUAUGCGCGCAGUUGCAACAGUUCUUUAAGGAAAUGUUCUCUGCUUGACGGAGUAGAUAAAUAUUCGCCUGGUUAUGUUUCCUUGUAUAUCAUUCAAUGCAAUGAAUACAGAAAGAUGAUGCGCAUUUUGGUACGCCUUCCGACCCCGGGCUAUGAUGAGAGGUAUGAUAUGUUGGAUCCCAACACAACAUUAGUUGGGGAAGGAUUGUGGGAUGAGAAAACGAAUUCUCUAGUCAUCGUUGCUUGCAGGACUUCAAGUUCCAGUUCUUCCGGAGAUGCUCAUCUUGGGGAUUGUUCAUUUCGGUUAAGCCUGUAUUACCCUUCAGUAUGGUCAAUUAAAACCAGGGACAAAGUUGUGGGACGGAUUUGGACAAAUAAGACUGCACAAGAUGUAGGGUACUUCGACCCGAUCAAUUUCAGGAAUUCUGUUGGAUUCAUAAAAGUGCCUGGUUUUAAGUAUGAAUACACUGAAAUUGAGAAGGUAUAUAAGCUAUGCCCAAAGAAGGCUCUUACAAGGGGAGAGAGAUACCCAAGUGGAGAGUUCUAUGAUAUGAGGUUUGACAUGUCUUUGCAAGACUCAGAGUAUAUUGGUGGGGCUUCUGCAAAACCGAUCUUCAUAGGCAAUAAAUCGUAUCUGGAUUAUUCUGUUUUUAGAACAAACUCAAGACAGGGAGGUAAUGGAGAAAAUGUAAAAUCCGAAGUGGAGUUUGAAAAUGUUGUUUCGGAUAAUGUUCAAUUGAAUGUUAGUUACAAAUUGGGGAUUUCAUUAAUGAGUGGUGUCAAAUCGGGAUCUGGCCGUCAUUCUAUACUGCAUACAUCCUUCAGACCACACGGUUAUAUAAUUAUAUCUGCUGAAGGAGUUUAUGAUUCUGGAACAGGAUCCCUUUGUAUGACAGGCUGUAGAAAUCUGGCCUUUCGCAAUUUUCAGGACUGUGAUAUAGUCCUGCAUUUCCACUUCCCCGGAUCAACCAGGGCUAAAGGUGGUUUUAUGAAGGGUAGCAUACAAAGCACAAGGAAUCAAAGUGACCCGCUUUUCUUUGAGCAGUUGAACAUGACAUCAUCCGCCUCCACCAGUUCUGAGGAACGGCAAUCCUUAUGGAGGAUUGAUUUAGAGAUCACAAUGGUUUUGAUCUGUAACAUGAAUGCAUGUAUACUUGUUUGUUUUCAGCUUUACCAUAUGAAAAGGUAUCCUAGUACCGUUCCUCAUAUGUCACUUGUUAUGCUUGUGAUACUUGCAUUGGGGCACCUGAUCCCUCUCGUCCUAAACUUUGAAGCACUGUCCAUGGCACCGCAAAAUACACAAACUAUAAAGCUAGGUAGAUUUGAAUGGCUAGAAGUGAAUGAGGUGAUUGUAAGAGUUGCUACAAUGGUAGCCUUCAUCAUGCAAUUCCGUCUCCUUCAAUUAGCCUGGACUGCACGACAUGCUGGCCAGAGUACUGAUCCGGACAUAUCAGUUGCUGAGAUAAAGACUUUACUAGUUUUGUUGCCAAUAUACAUAGUUGGUGGGAUGGAUGCAUAUCUUUUGAAAUGGGAGAAGUUUAACUAUAGCAAGUCAUCGCGUGCACUUAACUAUUCACGAGUUCAGUACCAACAAUAUACUCUCUGGGGAUAUUUGAGAUCAUAUGCUACCCUGAUACUUGAUGGCUUUCUCUUUCCCCAAGUAAUUCUCAAUUUAUUCCAGAUGUCAAGGCAAAGUGCUCUGUCUAUGCCGUUUAUCCUAGGAACGACAUUGGUUCAUUCAGUUCCUCAUGCCUACCACCUUUAUGUCAACAACUAUGUGUACGCAAAUCCUAGUGCAGAUUUUUAUUCUGCCGCUUGGGAUACCAUCAUUCCACUGGCAAGUUUUUUGCUCGUUGCGGUCAUAUAUUUGCAGCAAAGGUAUGGUGGCCUUGUUAUUCUUCCUACGAAAUUCAGGGACUUGGAAUUAUAUGCAAAAGUGCCUGAAGCUUAAUGGCAAUAUUGUUGCUUCUCUGGUUUAGUAAUUUCUGUAAUGUAUUGUUGCCGUUUGCGGGCUUCUGUAUAUUUAACAAGAACUUCUUGUCCUCUCUGAAUAUUGUUUGUUUCUUAAAAUUGGAAUUAUGAUUGCUUUUCUGUUUUGAUUACCAGGCAAGAGCUCUCUUUUUAUGCAGAAUGCGUUUACAGACAGUUUAGUUUGGUCUUAAAUUUUAGCUUAGAUAAGAGGUUUGUCUUGUGGCAUGUGUUGAUGUUUCCUGCUACUUGAACUUUUGAAAAACUGUUACUCCUACUGGGCACUGGCUCAACUUUUCUUCACCCCCAACGGCAUCUCCAACUUUUAGAAUUUUUAACUAAAAAUAAUUAAUACUGAUUAUAAAUAAAAUUUAUAGAGACAUGUAAAAGAAUUUCAAUUUUAAGACAUUGAUAUCUCUAAUUUUAGCCAAAAUCAACAUCUAAAGAGGCAAAAUUUCAUAUCAUCUAUUAUGUUACUAAAAUAAUGUAUGUUAUUUUCAUAAUAAUUUGAAAUGAUAAUUAUAUUAUUUUAAAAUAGUCAUUUAAUAUCAUGAAAGCGGUGUUAUAGAAAUUGGGAGAUGUAAUCGGUUAAGUUACUAAUUUAGGAUUAAUCGUAAUCGAGAAUUAAUCGGGUGAAAAUCAAAUAAGUUUUUAUUAAUUUUUUUUAAUAUUUAGUUAUCAUUAUAUUAGUUAUUUAUUGAAAAAUAUAUUUACUAUAUCAUAAAUUCUAUAAUUGCUCGUAUUUAAAAUGAUAUAGUAUUUUAUUUUUAAUAAAUUAUUAUAUAUUUUUUGAUUAAAAAAAUUGUAAAAAUAAAUCGGAUUUCAAAAACUAAAUUGAUCUGUAAUAUUAUACAAAAAGUAAUCAAUUAAAUUGGAAAUUUUUAAUACACUGCGGGAAAGUAAAAUGUUUUACACGUCUUCAAAUUUUAAGCAAUCCAAUUCAGUCAAACGCUCUAUCCAAAUGGAAUGAUCUGAAUGUGAUGGAAGGUAAUAAUUCAGAAUUUGAGACAUUAAUAUUUUAAAUUUGAGACAUCAAUAUUUUAAAUUGUAAUAAUGAAAGCCAACAAUUGAGUUUUGAAGGAUUUUAACACAUCUUUUGUUAAAAUCUUGUAGGCUUUUGAGAGAUUUCCAACAUUGUAAAAUACACUAGUAAAACCAUCAGAAUUCACUAUUAUAAAAUUAAAAAAAAUCUUUUUUUCUAAACAUCAUCAAUUUUAUAAUAUUUAAAAUUCUAAUAUGAUAUCUCAAGAUUUUAGAAAAUUAUUUCUUAUUUUUGUCCAAUAUCAUAGUAGUAUAAUCAACUUUUUCGGUACUAGUUGAAUAAUUAUGGAGAAUUUGUUUGCAUGAACUAUACUUUUUAAAGAAAAAUGUAUCUUUCACAAAAUUUCAAUUUUUUUAAAAGAUUUCCAAAAUUACAAGGGACACUAGUAAGUUCAUCAGAAAUUUUUUAUUAUAAAAUAUUUAGAAAAUAUAUCUACAUAUCACCGGUUUAUAAAAAUAUUUAAAUUUUUAAUUCAAUAUCUCGAAAUUUAAAAGAUAAUUUACGAUUCUUAUUAUCAAACUUUUAGGUGGUGUGUUCGACUAAGAUUUAAUGGAUUGUAUUUAAUUUUUUGAUUUUAAUGAAUUGUAUGUGAUUUUGAUUUUAUGCAGGUUCUUGAUAAAAUGUCGUAGAGUUGAUGUAGAUUUUUCAAGAUUUAAGCACAAUAUUUUAAAAUCUCAUCAAUUUUGUUGGGAUUUUAAAAAUUUUAAGAUACACUGAAAAAUACCAAAAAAUCAAUCAUUUUAUAAAAUCCAAAAAAUCCAUCAUCAUUUGAAACAAUCCAAUCGAACAACAUUGAAUUUUUGAACAUAAUUUAAUAUUCUGAUUGAAUAUCACCAUAUUUCAUCACAUGAUAUAAAACCUCAAUUGAAUAAUUCAAGAUUUUAAUAAAUUUUAAAUAAUCUCAAUUAAUACGUUCAAAAUUUGUGAAUGAAGAAAUCUUAUAAAAUCUCAAUUGAAUAUAGUGUCUUGUUUGAAUUGAAUAUUCAAUUGAAACAUCGGAUUUUUAAAGAUAAUUUAAUAUCCUAAUUGAAUAUCACCAGAUUUCAUCACAUGAUAUAAAAUCUCAACUGAAUAUCUCAAGAUUUUAAUAAAUUUCAAACAAUCUCAAUUAAUACUCCCUCCGUCCCUUUUUACUUGUCACCUUUGUUAUUGUGCCGGUCAAAUUGAUCAAAAUUUGAUUGAAAUUUAUUAAUAUUUUAUCAAUUAAAAAAAGUUAAAAAAUAUGUAAUCGGAAAUAACUUUUAAUCUACUUUAAGAUGUAAUUUUCAAUUUUUUAAAAUAAUAAAAGAGUGACUUAUAAUUUUUGAUUAAAAAUUAGUUAAUUUGACAAACAAAAAUAAAAAUAUGACACUAAAAAAAUACAAUAACUAUAUUCAAAUCUCUUAGAAUGAAAAAUAUCUUUUAAAAUCUCAAUUGAAUAUUGAAUAUAACGUCUUGUUUGAAUUGAAUAUUCCUUCAUACGAAUUGAGAAUUGAAUGCAGCCCACAAUCACAUCACAUAUAUAUAUUUGUAUUAUUUCAAUCGCUGUGUUCUUGUGUCUCCUCUCCUUAAAAAACUAAAAUGGCGAUACAACUUACAGGAUUGCAAACAAGUCACGGCAGAGUCACGGUUCUAGUUUGAUCUAAGAUAUUACAAUUUAGUGUUAAUCGGUAAGAAGUUAUCAAUUAAUCUCUUUAAGUUCGCUGUUUACACCUCUUUGCCUCUUUAUUUUUCCUUCAGGAUUAGGGCUUUUACGAUUCAUAAAAUUGAUUGUUGUAAACUGGGUUCCUAAAUUCAGGUCUUAAAUACAAGGUGGAAGGCUAUAUUCUUUGAUAUUUAUACAUCAUAAUUCAGAAUUGUGCUUCCUCAGAGAUCAACGAUUUACUCCUGAGACUCCUAAGGCUUGAGGUAUGUAUACAUAUUUACUCAAUAAUUAACCCUCCGUUAACUGCCUAAUUGUGCUUAAUUGUCAGAGUGUAUUACUUAACUGUUUUGGAGUUAAAAUCUUAUACCCAUGGACUCUGAUUAAAUAUGUUUCAGAUGUGGUGAAACCGAAACACACUCUCCGUUCUUUCUUUAAAAGUAUAUCAGAACCUUAUAUAACUGAAGUAGGCACUAAUCAAAGUGAAACUUCUGUGUGUUGGUUGGGGUGAAUGAAAAUGAAAGGAAUGUAAUGAAAUUUGAAUUACAAUUUUGUUGAAUGUUUAAUAAUUUCAUUCCUUUCACUAUUCCAUUCCUAUUAUCCUUAACUAGAGCUCAAACCCUCCACUUUGUGAAGGAAUGUAAUAUUCUUUAUCAUACCUAUUUUCUACUCAAAUCUCAUUUAACAAAAUUUGCAUUCACUCCUUAUUCAAAGGCCUACUAUGACAAGAUGUAUAAAAAUGGAAUAGCAGGGAAUUUAAUAACUACUCCAUAUCGGGAGAAUUCAAUCGUUUAUAUGAAUGAAAAAGGAAAUUCAAUAAAUCCUCCUCCAUGGAAUCAGUUGAAUGAAAGUAUUUACGAUAACAUUGGAAUCCUGACCAUGAAAGAAAUUGAUAAAUUGGUGUUUGAAGAUCUCUUAAAUUGGUGUUUGAAGAUCUUCAAGCCUAGUAGGAUCCUCAUGCAACAAUUUAUCAAUUUCUUCUAUGGUCGGGAUUCCAGUGUCAUCUUAAAUGCUUUCAUUCAAUUGUUUUGUUGGAAGAAGAGUUAUUGAAUUCCUCCUCGUUUCAUUCAUAUACACGUCUGUCUUCUCCCAACUGUUCUGUGAAGUAGUUAUCGAAUUUCUUACUAUUGCAUUCUUAUACAUUUUGUCACAGGACUUAAUCUAGUCUAAUCCACCAACAGUAGCGACAUCGUCGUAAUGAUUAUUGCCUUCAUAGUUCAUUGUUCCUUCAGCACCACAACUAUUAACUUUACCAAGCUUUUUCUUCAGAUGGACAUACUAGUAGUUUUUAAUGUCAUCAUGAGUUCUACCAGGCAGGUGUGCAGCAAUGGCAGCUUAUCUAAACAUACACGAAAUCUAUUUAAAGUCCUCCCUCCUACCCCCUAUUAUUUCCUUUUAUUUUCACACAUUCCAUUCACCCCCUACCAAAC